AGAUUGAACGCUGGCGGCAUGCCUUACACAUGCAAGUCGAACGGCAGCACGGGAGCAAUCCUGGUGGCGAGUGGCGAACGGGUGAGUAAUACAUCGGAACGUGCCCAAUCGUGGGGGAUAACGCAGCGAAAGCUAGUGCUAAUACCGCAUAAGAUCUACGGAUGAAAGCAGGGGAUCGCAAGACCUUGCGCGAAUGGAGCGGCCGAUGGCAGAUUAGGUAGUUGGUGAGGUAAAGGCUCACCAAGCCUUCGAUCUGUAGCUGGUCUGAGAGGACGACCAGCCACACUGGGACCUGAGACACGGCCCAGACUCCUACGGGAGCAGCAGUCGGGGAAUUUUGGACAAGUGGGACGAAGCCUGAUCCAGCCAUCGCCGCGUGCAGGA
rnacentral:rRNA from 1 species